rnacentral:lncRNA from 1 species
CCUAUGUAACUAAUAUAAUUCCCGUAUUUAAAAUUGUAUAAGUUAGCUGUUUGACUCAAAAAAAGUUAAUCUCUUUCUGAGCAAAUCAAUCAAAAAAGAUGAAGGGGUAAAUCAUAAUCAAUCUUAAUUAAUAAUGGAUUGAAAAACGAAAAACAACAAUUGCAUAUUAAACAGAUAAAAUAACAAAAUGUCUUGUUUACAAUAGAGUUUUGCCUUCUCUCUUUGAAGAGGAAAGAAGCAUUACAGUUGUUUCUCUCUUUUCAGAUAUAAAGAUGGAGCUCCCUUCCUUCCACGAUCGGCGCAGAACCCUUUCUCUUUUCUUUUCUUUUUGAGUGGAGUUCAGUUUAUUCUCUCGACCUAUUAAAGUGUUAGAGGAAAAAAAAAAGAGGAAUCCCCCUUUUUCAGGUUCACUUGUGAUGAUAUUUAUAGUUGAAAAUAUUCUUGUAUUUGCUCGACUUGGCAUGGCUGGGUGGG